UGUUUGAUGUUCUAACGUUGGCCCGUAAUCCGGGUUGCGGACAGUGUCUGGUGGGUAGUUUGACUGGGGCGGUCUCCUCCUAAAGAGUAACGGAGGAGCACGAAGGUUGGCUAAUCCUGGUCGGACAUCAGGAGGUUAGUGCAAUGGCAUAAGCCAGCUUGACUGCGAGCGUGACGGCGCGAGCAGGUGCGAAAGCAGGUCAUAGUGAUCCGGUGGUUCUGAAUGGAAGGGCCAUCGCUCAACGGAUAAAAGGUACUCCGGGGAUAACAGGCUGAUACCGCCCAAGAGUUCAUAUCGACGGCGGUGUUUGGCACCUCGAUGUCGGCUCAUCACAUCCUGGGGCUGAAGUAGGUCCCAAGGGUAUGGCUGUUCGCCAUUUAAAGUGGUACGCGAGCUGGGUUUAGAACGUCGUGAGACAGUUCGGUCCCUAUCUGCCGUGGGCGCUGGAGAACUGAGGGGGGCUGCUCCUAGUACGAGA
rnacentral:rRNA from 1 species